AAGGUGGCCUGUGAGGGUUGCUGGAGGUAUCAGAAGUGCGAAUGCUGACAUAAGUAACGAUAAAGCGGGUGAAAAGCCCGCUCGCCGGAAGACCAAGGGUUCCUGUCCAACGUUAAUCGGGGCAGGGUGAGUCGACCCCUAAGGCGAGGCCGAAAGGCGUAGUCGAUGGGAAACGGGUUAAUAUUCCCGUACUUGGUGUUACUGCGAAGGGGGGACGGAGAAGGCUAUGUUGGCCGGGCGACGGUUGUCCCGGUUUAAGCGUGUAGGUGUGUGUUCCAGGUAAAUCCGGUUCACUUUAACACUGAGGCGUGAUGACGAGGCACUACGGUGCUGAAGCAACAAAUGCCCUGCUUCCAGGAAAAGCCUCUAAGCAUCAGGUAACAUCAAAUCGUACCCCAAACCGACACAGGUGGUCAGGUAGAGAAUACCAAGGCGCUUGAGAGAACUCGGGUGAAGGAACUAGGCAAAAUGGUGCCGUAACUUCGGGAGAAGGCACGCUGACAUGUAGGUGAAGUGAUUUACUCAUGGAGCUGAAGUCAGUCGAAGAUACCAGCUGGCUGCAACUGUUUAUUAAAAACACAGCACUGUGCAAACACGAAAGUGGACGUAUACGGUGUGACGCCUGCCCGGUGCCGGAAGGUUAAUUGAUGGGGUCAGCGCAAGCGAAGCUCCUGAUCGAAGCCCCGGUAAACGGCGGCCGUAACUAUAACGGUCCUAAGGUAGCGAAAUUCCUUGUCGGGUAAGUUCCGACCUGCACGAAUGGCGUAAUGAUGGCCAGGCUGUCUCCACCCGAGACUCAGUGAAAUUGAACUCGCUGUGAAGAUGCAGUGUACCCGCGGCAAGACGGAAAGACCCCGUGAACCUUUACUAUAGCUUGACACUGAACAUUGAGCCUUGAUGUGUAGGAUAGGUGGGAGGCUUUGAAGUGUGGACGCCAGUCUGCAUGGAGCCGACCUUGAAAUACCACCCUUUAAUGUUUGAUGUUCUAACGUGGACCCGUGAUCCGGGUUGCGGACAGUGUCUGGUGGGUAGUUUGACUGGGGCGGUCUCCUCCUAAAGAGUAACGGAGGAGCACGAAGGUUGGCUAAUCCUGGUCGGACAUCAGGAGGUUAGUGCAAUGGCAUAAGCCAGCUUGACUGCGAGCGUGACGGCGCGAGCAGGUGCGAAAGCAGGUCAUAGUGAUCCGGUGGUUCUGAAUGGAAGGGCCAUCGCUCAACGGAUAAAAGGUACUCCGGGGAUAACAGGCUGAUACCGCCCAAGAGUUCAUAUCGACGGCGGUGUUUGGCACCUCGAUGUCGGCUCAUCACAUCCUGGGGCUGAAGUAGGUCCCAAGGGUAUGGCUGUUCGCCAUUUAAAGUGGUACGCGAGCUGGGUUUAGAACGUCGUGAGACAGUUCGGUCCCUAUCUGCCGUGGGCGCUGGAGAACUGAGGGGGGCUGCUCCUAGUACGAGAGGACCGGAGUGGACGCAUCACUGGUGUUCGGGUUGUCAUGCCAAUGGCACUGCCCGGUAGCUAAAUGCGGAAGAGAUAAGUGCUGAAAGCAUCUAAGCACGAAACUUGCCCCGAGAUGAGUUCU
rnacentral:rRNA from 1 species